rfam:Sphaerobolus stellatus SS14 unplaced genomic scaffold SPHSTscaffold_1, whole genome shotgun sequence.
GGCCGCCUGGGGAAAUGGCAUCGUGUCUGACUACGAAUCAGGGGAUCGCAGGUUCGACCCCUGCGGUGGUCA